UAGCGGCAGGCUUAACACAUGCAAGUCGAGGGGCAGCGGGGGUAGCAAUACCCGCCGGCGACCGGCGCACGGGUGAGUAACGCGUAUGCAACCUACCCACUACAGGGGAAUAACCCGGAGAAAUUCGGACUAGUACCCCAUAUACCCACGGUGAGGCAUUUCACAGUGUGGAAAGGAGCAAUCCGGUAGUGGAUGGGCAUGCGUAUCAUUAGAUAGUUGGCGGGGUAACGGCCCACCAAGUCUACGAUGAUUAGGGGAUCUGAGAGGAUUAACCCCCACACUGGGACUGAGACACGGCCCAGACUCCUACGGGAGGCAGCAGUGAGGAAUAUUGGUCAAUGGCCGAAAGGCUGAACCAGCCAUGCCGCGUGCAGGACUACGGCCCUACGGGUCUUAAACUGCUUUUGGGAGGGAACAAUAAGGGCUACGAGUAGCCCGACGAGCGUACCUUCCGAAUAAGCAUCGGCUAACUCCGUGCCAGCAGCCGCGGUAAUACGGAGGAUGCGAGCGUUAUCCGGAUUUAUUAAUUCGAUGAUACGCGAGGAACCUUACCCGGGCUCGAACGGCUAUAGAAUAACUUGGAAACAGGUUAGCCAGCAAUGGCUGUAGUCGAGGUGCUGCAUGGUUGUCGUCAGCUCGUGCCGUGAGGUGUCGGCUUAAGUGCCAUAACGAGCGCAACCCUUGUCGUUAGUUGCCAGCGGGUAGAGCCGGGGACUCUAACGAGACUGCCAGCGUAAGCUGUGAGGAAGGGGGGGAUGACGUCAAAUCAGCACGGCCCUUACGUCCGGGGCGACACACGUGUUACAAUGGGGGGUACAGCCGGUUGCUACCUAGCGAUAGGAUGCCAAUCUGUAAAGCCCCUCCCAGUUCGGAUUGGAGUCUGCAACCCGACUCCAUGAAGUUGGAUUCGCUAGUAAUCGCGCAUCAGCCAUGGCGCGGUGAAUACGUUCCCGGGCCUUGUACACACCGCCCGUCAAGCCAUGGAAGUUGGGGGUACCUGAAGUACGUGACCGNCAAGGA
rnacentral:rRNA from 1 species